UAAACCUCUGCCAAAAUCACAUCCAAGCUCUCUCUUUUUUAACCUAAAACCCAAACUCACUCAAACCCUCUUUUCUUCUUUGAACCACCUAACCGCCAUGUAAAAAAUCCACCCUCUUCAUACAACAACAUCAAUAGCAAACUUGUAACCUUCAUUCACAUAAUCAUUCACCACUAUCAUAUAAAUAUACAACCUUCUUCUCUUCCAUUUUCCUACCACAACAACCAUCUCCAUCCUCUUCCAAGCUUUUUA
rnacentral:lncRNA from 1 species